rnacentral:lncRNA from 1 species
AUGUCCAGGGCCAGCUGGUCAAGACACGGAAAGUUGGAAGGUGAUGACUCCCCGAAACUCAAGCGUCCCGAUUCCCAUUCAAUCUCAGCUCCUGCUCAACGAGGUUGUCUUUCCGCUCCCUGUGUCUCUUGUAACGGAAAUCCCUCCCAGUCGUUUCAAGGUUCUGUCGGUCAACGGUAUUUACUGAGGGCUUACUGGGUGCCCAACACUGUACUAAGCGCUUGGGAGAGGUCGAUUCAACAGUUGGUAGACACGUUCCCCGCCUCAAACUUCUGGCCCCUCCUUACCUACCCGCUCUCUUUACCCGCUCCUCGCCCGCUCUUCGCCUUCGUUGCCCCCAAGCCAACCUUCUGGUUGUCCCUCGCUCUCCACUCCCCACCUCCAUCUCCUCGCUCGACUCUCCCGCCUCCAUCGCCUCGGUCUCGAUUCCACCGGCUCCAUCCCCUCUCUCUAGGCUCUUCCGUCUCCGUCUCCUUGCUUUCGAUUCUCCUGGCUCUGUCUCCUCGUUCUUCUCUCCCGCCUCCGCCUCCUCGCUCUCGACUCUCCCGUCUCCAUCUCCUUGUUCUCGACCUUCCCACCUGUAUCUCCUCGCUCUCGACUCUCGGCUCCCAUCUCCUCGCUCUCGACUCUCCCGCCUCCAUCUCCUCGCUCUCGACUCUCCCACCUGCGUCUCCUCACUCUCGACUUGCCCACCUCCAUCUCUUCACUCUCGAUUCUCCCACCUGCCUCUCCUCGCUCCCGACUUUCCCGCCUGCGUCUCCUCGCUCUCGACUUUCCCGCCUGCAUCUCCUCGCUCUGGAGUCUCCCGCCUCCGUCUCCUCACUCUCGACUCGCCCACCUCCGUCUCCUCGCUCACGCUAUUUCCCCAGCUUGGGGCCUCCUCCCUUCCCACAUCGGCCAGACCACAGCUCUUCCGGCAUUCAAAGCCCUCCUAAAAUCCCACCCUCCAACAAGCCUUCCCUGACUGAUUUCCCAGCACCCUGCUAUAUCAUCCCUUCAGCUAAUUCCAGCCCUUAA